AACUUCCACGCUUAUACCAAUCGUGCUAGUUAUUUAUGUGUUCAUUGUACUCUAGAUCAAUCGAAACCAAGGCACUGGAGGUAACGAGGAGAAGAAAUGCUAUGAAGACAAGAAAAUAUUUAAUGCUCAAAAAGAAAUGAGCGAAUGUGACCAAGUAGGUACCUUACAUUAACCCCAUUCUGAUCAGAGAUGUUCAGGGCUUCAAGAACAUGAGCGGGGUGAUGGAGUGGCGACUAAAAGGUCUGAGGCCUUUGACUCCACCAGUAUGUAACUUGAGGGAUGGGGAAUGUUGUAUAAUGUAUCUAGUGUAUAUGCAAUCAAAUAUCUAAGGCUUAAAAGAAAACAACCUUUUAAUUUCAACCUUUCAGUUAGUAGAAGAAUUGAUGGUGGGUUUGAUAAAAGAAGGGAGGAAGGAAUAGGGGGAGAACAGACGGACGGACAAAUGAUUGAAUGGAUUGAAUGAACGAAAAAAACGAGUGGGCGAGUGAGUGAAUAAAAAUAGCAAUAAGGAUUAAAAUAUUUAACUUUUGAUGCAUAACGAGAACCUUCAGGAUGAAAAUCGAGCCUUGCCUAUUCCUGGCGGUUUCCAAGUUAACAAAGAAAUCGCCAUGUCCUCUGGACAGCUUUCUCAGGAAAAAGAUGAUACUCAGGAUGGGAUCGAUCAAGAUCAACCACGGCUAGAGCAAACUUUGCUGAUGAUGGAAUCGACUCCGUCACGAGAUAACAGAGAUAUCACCCUUGAUAUAACCCUUUUCGCUGAGAAUCUUGCUAAAGUAAGUAAUUGUUUAUUUCCAUGGCAGCUUUAGCUCUUAAAACUACAUUUGCGAAGAUUAUAACAAAGAAUUACACAACAAAUUCAUUGGUCAAUACGCAAAUCAUUAUUUGCAUUGGUGUCUACAAACGUACAUGUACUUAUGUAUGGUAAUGAAAGUUAAAUGAUGUGUAAGGUAUCCACGAAUGUUUAUUUCAUUGGUGGUCACGUGCCAAAUAUGAUGAGAUCAGUUAGGUCAACAUAGCCAAACUGGCAGUAAAAAUCAAAAGUAUUAGAUAUAUUCUAAAAAGUAUUACGAGUAUGAUGAAGUAUUAAAAAUGCUAAAGCUAAAGCAGAAGUGGAAAAAAUGUAAAAAAACAAACAGUAAAACCAAAAUCACAACUGAGAAAAAAACAAUUGUAUAGCAAGCGCAACUUCAACACAAUACUACAAGUGUUUUCCAAUCAAUAUAAGAAAAACUCACCAAAAGCUCACGCUACAUUAGGUUUGAAAUAAGCGCCACAUUUUCUAUCCUUCCCUCCCUACCCAAAAUAUGAAUAACGGAAUAAUUUACAAACGCUUAGUUUACUACCAUUACUUGCUACGUUACGUUCUUUUUU